rnacentral:rRNA from 1 species
UACGUAGGGUGCAAGCGUUAAUCGGAAUUACUGGGCGUAAAGCGUGCGCAGGCGGAUUUGUAAGUCUGUCGUGAAAGCCCCGGGCUCAACCUGGGAAUUGCGAUGGAGACUGCAAGGCUUGAAUCUGGCAGAGGGGGGUAGAAUUCCACGUGUAGCAGUGAAAUGCGUAGAGAUGUGGAGGAACACCGAUGGCGAAGGCAGCCCCCUGGGUCAAGAUUGACGCUCAUGCACGAAAGCGUGGGGAGCAAACAGG